rnacentral:rRNA from 1 species
UACGAAGGGGGCUAGCGUUGUUCGGAAUUACUGGGCGUAAAGCGUGCGCAGGCGGCCUUCCAAGUCAGGGGUGAAAGCCCAGAGUUCAACUCUGGAAUUGCCUUUGAGACUGUGAGGCUUGAGUACGGGAGAGGUGAGUGGAAUUCCCAGUGUAGAGGUGAAAUUCGUAGAUAUUGGGAAGAACACCGGUGGCGAAGGCGGCUCACUGGCCCGAAACUGACGCUCAUGCACGACAGCGUGGGGAUCAAACAGG